AAAUUGAAGAGUUUGAUCAUGGCUCAGAUUGAACGCUGGCGGCAGGCCUAACACAUGCAAGUCGAGCGGUAGCACAGAGAGCUUGCUCUCGGGUGACGAGCGGCGGACGGGUGAGUAAUGUCUGGGAAACUGCCUGAUGGAGGGGGAUAACUACUGGAAACGGUAGCUAAUACCGCAUAAUGUCGCAAGACCAAAGUGGGGGACCUUCGGGCCUCAUGCCAUCAGAUGUGCCCAGAUGGGAUUAGCUAGUAGGUGGGGUAACGGCUCACCUAGGCGACGAUCCCUAGCUGGUCUGAGAGGAUGACCAGCCACACUGGAACUGAGACACGGUCCAGACUCCUACGGGAGGCAGCAGUGGGGAAUAUUGCACAAUGGGCGCAAGCCUGAUGCAGCCAUGCCGCGUGUGUGAAGAAGGCCUUCGGGUUGUAAAGCACUUUCAGCGGGGAGGAAGGCGAUAAGGUUAAUAACCUUGGCGAUUGACGUUACCCGCAGAAGAAGCACCGGCUAACUCCGUGCCAGCAGCCGCGGUAAUACGGAGGGUGCAAGCGUUAAUCGGAAUUACUGGGCGUAAAGCGCACGCAGGCGGUCUGUCAAGUCGGAUGUGAAAUCCCCGGGCUCAACCUGGGAACUGCAUUCGAAACUGGCAGGCUAGAGUCUUGUAGAGGGGGGUAGAAUUCCAGGUGUAGCGGUGAAAUGCGUAGAGAUCUGGAGGAAUACCGGUGGCGAAGGCGGCCCCCUGGACAAAGACUGACGCUCAGGUGCGAAAGCGUGGGGAGCAAACAGGAUUAGAUACCCUGGUAGUCCACGCCGUAAACGAUGUCGAUUUGGAGGUUGUGCCCUUGAGGCGUGGCUUCCGGAGCUAACGCGUUAAAUCGACCGCCUGGGGAGUACGGCCGCAAGGUUAAAACUCAAAUGAAUUGACGGGGGCCCGCACAAGCGGUGGAGCAUGUGGUUUAAUUCGAUGCAACGCGAAGAACCUUACCUGGUCUUGACAUCCACAGAACUUUCCAGAGAUGGAUUGGUGCCUUCGGGAACUGUGAGACAGGUGCUGCAUGGCUGUCGUCAGCUCGUGUUGUGAAAUGUUGGGUUAAGUCCCGCAACGAGCGCAACCCUUAUCCUUUGUUGCCAGCGGUUCGGCCGGGAACUCAAAGGAGACUGCCAGUGAUAAACUGGAGGAAGGUGGGGAUGACGUCAAGUCAUCAUGGCCCUUACGACCAGGGCUACACACGUGCUACAAUGGCAUAUACAAAGAGAAGCGACCUCGCGAGAGCAAGCGGACCUCAUAAAGUAUGUCGUAGUCCGGAUUGGAGUCUGCAACUCGACUCCAUGAAGUCGGAAUCGCUAGUAAUCGUAGAUCAGAAUGCUACGGUGAAUACGUUCCCGGGCCUUGUACACACCGCCCGUCACACCAUGGGAGUGGGUUGCAAAAGAAGUAGGUAGCUUAACCUUCGGGAGGGCGCUUACCACUUUGUGAUUCAUGACUGGGGUGAAGUCGUAACAAGGUAACCGUAGGGGAACCUGCGGUUGGAUCACCUCCUUACCUUAAAGAA
rnacentral:rRNA from 2 species